UUCGACCGGCCGGACACCUGUGUGCCCGGCCCACAAGUGGAGGCUCCGAUCUCCCACCUGACUGCCCUCACGGGCGGCGGGUCAUCCGGUCAGGCGGUGUCCAUCGUUCCGUACGGACGAUGGGAAGCUGCCCGAGUUUGCGCCCCGCGGUUCGCAUGCGGAGGUGCUCCGGUUGUGUUGGAGCCCCUGCCUGUGCCCGGCGGGGCAUUUUUG
rfam:Streptomyces sp. Mg1, complete genome.